rnacentral:rRNA from 1 species
GACGAACGCUGGCGGCGUGCUUAACACAUGCAAGUCGAGCGGAAAGGCCACUUCGGUGGUACUCGAGCGGCGAACGGGUGAGUAACACGUGAGUAAUCUGCCCCUGGCUUUGGGAUAGCCACCGGAAGCGGUGAUUAAUACCGGAUACGACCACUUCUCGCAUGGGAUGGUGGUGGAAAGUUUUUUCGGCCAGGGAUGUGCUCGCGGCCUAUCAGCUUGAUGGUGAGGUAAUGGCUCACCAUGGCUUCGACGGGUAGCCGGCCUGAGAGGGUGACCGGUCACACUGGGAAUGGGACACGGCCCAGACUCCUACGGGAGGCAGCAGUGGGGAAUAUUGGACAAUGGGCGGAAGCCUGAUCCAGCAACGCCGCGUGAGGGAUGACGGCCUUCGGGUUGUAAACCUCUUUCAGCAGGGACGAAGCGCAAGUGACGGUACCUGCAGAAGAAGCACCGGCCAACUACGUGCCAGCCGCCGCAGUAA